rnacentral:ncRNA from 1 species
UUAUCAACGAUGAAAGAGAAAGUAACUACUCAUUAAAUUUUACAGAGAAAAAAUCCUUGGCUGAGAGAUUUUAUAUUUAUGUUUAGUGAAGUUCCCUCUGGAGUUUUAGAAGUGAAAGUUAUGUGCUUUUUAAUUAACUAAUAGCUUCUAACGUUAAUCACGUUACGAUUUUAAGUGAAUACAAAUCUGUAUUAAUCUAAGGUGGUACCGCGGAACUAUUUCGUCCUUUUC